UACGUAGGGUGCAAGCGUUAAUCGGAAUUAUUGGGCGUAAAGAGCUCGUAGGCGGUUUGUCGCGUCGGCUGUGAAAACUCGGGGCUCAACCCCGAGCCUGCAGUCGAUACGGGCAGACUAGAGUGCUGUAGGGGAGACUGGAAUUCCUGGUGUAGCGGUGAAAUGCGCAGAUAUCAGGAGGAACACCGGUGGCGAAGGCGGGUCUCUGGGCAGUAACUGACGCUGAGGAGCGAAAGCGUGGGGAGCGAACAGG
rnacentral:rRNA from 1 species